UACGAAGGGGGCAAGCGUUGUUCGGAAUUACUGGGCGUAAAGUGCGCGCAGGCGGCGUUGCAAGUCGAGUGUGAAAUCCCCGAGCUUAACUUGGGAAUUGCGCUCGAAACUACGAUGCUCGAGUGUGGCAGAGGAAGGUGGAAUUCCACGUGUAGCGGUGAAAUGCGUAGAGAUGUGGAGGAACACCGAUGGCGAAGGCAGCCUUCUGGGCCAACACUGACGCUCAUGCACGAAAGCGUGGGGAGCAAACAGG
rnacentral:rRNA from 1 species